ACCCGCUGAACUUAAGCAUAUCAAUAAGCGGAGGAAAAGAAACUAACAAGGAUUCCCCUAGUAACGGCGAGUGAAGCGGGAAGAGCUCAAAUUUGAAAUCUAACGGACUCAGUCUGUUCGAGUUGUAAUCUAUAGGAACGUUUUCCGUGCCGGCUCAUGUACAAGUCCCUUGGAACAGGGCGUCAUAGAGGGUGAGAAUCCCGUACUUGACAUGAACUACCGGUGCUCUGUGAUACGUCUCCAACGAGUCGAGUUGUUUGGGAAUGCAGCUCAAAAUGGGUGGUAAAUUCCAUCUAAAGCUAAAUAUUGGUGUGAGACCGAUAGCGAACAAGUACCGUGAGGGAAAGAUGAAAAGCACUUUGGAAAGAGAGUUAAACAGUAUGUGAAAUUGUUGAAAGGGAAACGAUUGAAGUCAGUCAUGUCCUUCAGAUUCAGCUGGUUCUGCCGGUGUAUUUCUGUUGGAUGGGGUCAACAUCAGUUUUGGAUGCCAGAUAAAGGCUGGAGGAAGGUAGCACCCCCGGGUGAACUUAUAGCCUCCUGUCGCAUACGGUGACCGGGACUGAGGAACGCAGCUUGCCUUUAUGGCCGGGGUUCGCCCACGUACAAGCUUAGGAUGUUGACAUAAUGGCUUUAAACGACCCGUCUUGAAACACGG
rnacentral:rRNA from 1 species